UCUGAUUGUUUUUUUCCUACCAGAAAUAUCAGAAAAUAAUAAGUGAAAGAAAAGCAAGAAAUGGCAACAGCCUUUCUCUCUACUGCAAAUACCUUCAUUUAUUCUUCUCUAUCCUCUUCAGCAUCUCCUUCCUCUUCUUUGUUAACAUCACCAUCAUUAUUCUUCCCUCACAAACACAAUGCAGAGAGACAAUUAGCUAUAUGCAAGGCAUUCGCUGAGUCCUCCCCAAAUCUUACCAAAAGAAGCCUUUCCAUCAGCUUCAUCACCAGCUUUGGCUUCUUAUUUUCUCCUAAAGAUUGGUCUGCUUCUAAUGCAGCGAUUCUGGAGGCUGACGACGAUGUGGAGCUCUUGGAAAAGGUCAAGAAGGACAGAAAGAAGAGGAUUGAGAGACAAGGAGUCAUUAGUUCAUCUAACAAAGAAACAGGAUAUCUGCAGGAUGUGGUGUACAAGCUGAGCAAAGUUGCUCAAGCCAUUGACAAUAACGAUCUAUCUACAGCUAGUACUGUUCUUGGGGGAAGCUCUAAUACAGAGUGGGUUAAGAAUGCCAAUAUAGCCUUCACCAAGCUGAGUUCUAGUCCGGAAGAGAAGACUCAAGUGGAGACAUUCAAUUCCUCACUGGUUUCAUUGAUCUCCUCAGGUGGGUUACUCUAUUACUAAGAUGUGCCUUGCUUUCCCACAUCCAUGCUCCCUUGCAAAUUUGCAAUCAUUCAGUAACUCGUAAUGAUGUUGAGUCCUCCAAACUUGCUUUUGUCUCGUCAGCAAGUGCAUUUCAGAAAUGGUCAGCCUUAACUGGACUUGUGGGACAACUCAAGGGGCUUUGAACAGUGACCACAAGUUUUCCUUUUAUUGAGGGAAGAAUUAAAGUUAGAUCAAUUCUGCAACCUCUAGCUAGCUUGAUUCACUAGUUUUCUGCAUGCUUUCAGUUAGUCCUUACAAAUUCCGGAACAACAGGAUAUUGUUCUUUUUGCACGAGUUGUUGUAAUUCGUUGCUCGGUUUGGUUGAGCUUUUGAUUAUAAGCAACAAAAUUUCUCACCAAUUAUUGCAAAUGUUGACGUUAUCAUUCUUUACUAUUUGGAUUAAUUAAAUCGAAAUUUGUUGUUUCUGCUGA